rnacentral:tRNA from 1 species
AUGUAGCUCAGUGGUAUAUAGCACUUGCCUCACAUGCAUGAGGCCCUGGGUUCAAUCCCUAGUGU